ensembl:lncRNA
GUCUCCCUGCUGCGGAGAAGGCUCAACCUUGUAGAACUGAGGUUCAAGGGCCUGUAGCAGCUCUAGAUCAGUGAUGCCAGGUGGUGGCUGAACUCUGAUUUCCUCACCACUUCCUACUCCAAUGAGAAAGGGAUCUCUGACUCCUGUUCUGGAGAACACAAGGACUACUCCAUUUUACAGAGCAAAGUACAUUCCCACUCCCAUGGCCAUAACAAAGCAACUCACAAAGAAACUUAUGCAGAAUGUACUCACUAUGGAAAAUCAGCACGGUGAUCUGCUAAAUUAAUGGUGACAGCACAGGACCCAGAGAGCCUGCCUAACUGAACCUGAGGCCUCCUAGCCUGAUGGAAGAGGCAAAAAACCCCAAGCUGGACCUCAGUGCUGGGAGCAAAUGUCGCUAAGUCAUGUCCGACUCUUUGUGACCCCAUGGACUGCAGCAUGCCAGGUUUCCCUGUGCUUCACUAUCUCCUGGAGUUUGCUCAAGUUGAUGUCCAUUGAGUCAGUGAUGCCAUCCAACCAUCACAGCCUCUGUUGCCUCCUUCUCCUCUUGCUCUCAAUUAUUCCCAGUGUUCCAGGGUCUUUUCCACUGAGUUGGCUCUUCCUAUCAGG